rnacentral:tRNA from 1 species
GGAGGUGGGGAGAGCUCCUGCCUAGCAUGCACAAGGUCCUGGGUUCAAUCCCCAGCACCUCCA